UCUAAUAUGGCAGAAUAGUGCAAUGAAUUUAAGCUUCAUUUAUAAAGAAAAAUCUUUUAUUAGAA
rnacentral:tRNA from 1 species